rnacentral:rRNA from 1 species
GACGAACGCUGGCGGCGUGCUUAACACAUGCAAGUCGAACGGAAAGGCCCUGCUUUUGUGGGGUGCUCGAGUGGCGAACGGGUGAGUAACACGUGAGUAACCUGCCCUUGACUUUGGGAUAACUUCAGGAAACUGGGGCUAAUACCGGAUAGGAGCUCCUGCAGCAUGGUGGGGGUUGGAAAGUUUCGGCGGUUGGGGAUGGACUCGCGGCUUAUCAGCUUGUUGGUGGGGUAGUGGCUUACCAAGGCUUUGACGGGUAGCCGGCCUGAGAGGGUGACCGGCGACAUUGGGACUGAGGGACGCCCCAGACUCCUACGGGAGGCAGCAGUGGGGAAUAUUGCACAAUGGGCGGAAGCCUGAUGCAGCAACGCCGCGUGCGGGAUGACGGCCUUCGGGUUGUAAACCGCUUUCGCCUGUGACGAAGCGUGAGUGACGGUAAUGGGUAAAGAAGCACCGGCUAACUACGUG